rnacentral:rRNA from 1 species
UACGUAGGGUGCGAGCGUUAAUCGGAAUUACUGGGCGUAAAGCGUGCGCAGGCGGUUCGUUAUGUCCGAUGUGAAAGCCCCGAGCUCAACUUGGGAAUGGCAUUGGAAACUGGCGGGCUGGAGUGUGGCAGAGGGGGGUGGAAUUCCACGUGUAGCAGUGAAAUGCGUAGAGAUGUGGAGGAACACCGAUGGCGAAGGCAGCCUCCUGGGCCAGCACUGACGCUCAGUGCACGAAAGCGUGGGGAGC